GGGAUAACACUUGGAAACAGGUGCUAAUACCGCAUAACCAUAGUUACCGCAUGGUAACUAUGUAAAAGGUGGCUAUGCUACCGCUUUUGGAUGGGCCCGCGACGCAUUAGCUAGUUGGUGGGGUAAAGGCUUACCAAGGCAAUGAUGCGUAGCCGAACUGAGAGGUUGAUCGGCCACAUUGGGACUGAGACACGGCCCAAACUCCUACGGGAGGCAGCAGUAGGGAAUCUUCCACAAUGGGCGAAAGCCUGAUGGAGCAACGCCGCGUGGGUGAAGAAGGUCUUCGGAUCGUAAAACCCUGUUGUUAGAGAAGAAAGUGCGUGAGAGUAACUGUUCACGUUUCGACGGUAUCUAACCAGAAAGCCACGGCUAACUACGUGCCAGCAGCCGCGGUAAUACGUAGGUGGCAAGCGUUAUCCGGAUUUAUUGGGCGUAAAGAGAACGCAGGCGGUCUUUUAAGUCUGAUGUGAAAGCCUUCGGCUUAACCGGAGUAGUGCAUUGGAAACUGGGAGACUUGAGUGCAGAAGAGGAGAGUGGAACUCCAUGUGUAGCGGUGAAAUGCGUAGAUAUAUGGAAGAACACCAGUGGCGAAAGCGGCUCUCUGGUCUGUAACUGACGCUGAGGUUCGAAAGCGUGGGUAGCAAACAGGAUUAGAUACCCUGGUAGUCCACGCCGUAAAC
rnacentral:rRNA from 1 species